GCGGGUGUAGCUCAGUGGUAGAGCACCAGCUUGCCAAGCUGGGGGUCGCGGGUUCGAAUCCCGUCGCCCGCU
rnacentral:tRNA from 1 species